UCAAGCACGCGAAAUCGAAACGCAUCUCGAAGCCCGCCCUUUUCCUACUCAACUCCCCGUCGUCCUUCCUCUAAACCUUCCCCUGAUUCUCCUCUCUUGCUCUCGCGCUUUCAUCUCCGAUCUCGUCGCUCUCUUUCUCAAUCUCUCUCGUGAGGUCUAACGAUGGGGAGAGGUUCAUCCAGGUCCAACCCGUCGAGGCCGCGGAAGAGGGUGGAGGCGGAGACGGCCAGCACGCCAAGGAUGAGAGGGCCUUCGCCAGAUGCCAGGCAUGCAAUAAGAAUGUCGCUGUUGUUCUCAUAGACGUGCACAGCUGCGGUCUCGAUUCCAAAACCAAAAUGACCCUUGCUACGCUCUUUUGUGAUUUCAUGUAUUAUUGAUUUCUUAUGUCUCAUUCUGAUAGUGUUACUGCAGCAGAGUCCUAGGGAGAAAGCAGUUGAGGCAAAGAAGCCGACAGAGAAAAAGAGGGUCGCCUCAUCUGAGAGUAAGGAGAAGAAGGCAAAGAAGGGGAAGAAGUCCAAAGACCCUAGUGCUCCCAAGCGCCCUCCAACUGCUCAAGUUCUCAUUUAAACUAUUGUUAAGCCUUUUUAGGACUCCCCUAACUAAUUUCGAUCUAUGUAAUGUUGCUGUAGGGAAGACUUUAGGAAGUCAUACAAAGAGGCUAACCCCGAUAACAAUUUGAUUUGUUCUCUGCUCAUGAUUUUAAAUUAAGAUUCUUCAGUUUGUUCCAUUGUUACUUUUUUUGACUGGAUCAUAACAGGUGUCCAAGGAAGGUGAUGAGAAGUGGAAGGCCAUGUCAGAUGGAGUGUUUUAUAGACUU